AACGAACGCUGGCGGCAGGCUUAACACAUGCAAGUCGAACGCAUCCUUCGGGGUGAGUGGCAGACGGGUGAGUAACGCGUGGGAAUGUGCCCUUCAGUUCGGGAUAACCCAGGGAAACUUGGGCUAAUACCGGAUACGUGCGAGAGCAGAAAGAUUUAUCGCUGGAAGGAUCGGCCCGCGUCUGUUUAGCUAGUGGGUGGGGUAAUGGCCAACCAAGGCGACGAUCAGUAGCUGGUCUGGGAGGAUGAUCAGCCACAUUGGGCCUGAGACACGGCCCAAACUCUAAGGGAGGGCAGCGGUGGGGAAUAUUGGACAAUGGGCGAAAGCCGGAUCCAGCAAUGCCGCGGGGGUGAUGAAGGCCUUAGGGUUGAAAAGCUUUUUCGUCCGGGACGAUAUGACGGUACCGGAAGAAGAAGCCCCGGCUAACUUCGUGCCAGCAGCCGCCGUAA
rnacentral:rRNA from 1 species